rnacentral:rRNA from 3 species
GAAUGCUGACAUAAGUAACGAUAAAGCGGGUGAAAAGCCCGCUCGCCGGAAGACCAAGGGUUCCUGUCCAACGUUAAUCGGGGCAGGGUGAGUCGACCCCUAAGGCGAGGCCGAAAGGCGUAGUCGAUGGGAAACGGGUUAAUAUUCCCGUACUUGGUGUUACUGCGAAGGGGGGACGGAGAAGGCUAUGUUGGCCGGGCGACGGUUGUCCCGGUUUAAGCGUGUAGGUGUGUGUUCCAGGUAAAUCCGGUUCACUUUAACACUGAGGCGUGACGACGAGGCACUACGGUGCUGAAGCAACAAAUGCCCUGCUUCCAGGAAAAGCCUCUAAGCAUCAGGUAACAUCAAAUCGUACCCCAAACCGACACAGGUGGUCAGGUAGAGAAUACCAAGGCGCUUGAGAGAACUCGGGUGAAGGAACUAGGCAAAAUGGUGCCGUAACUUCGGGAGAAGGCACGCUGACACGUAGGUGAAGUGAUUUACUCAUGGAGCUGAAGUCAGUCGAAGAUACCAGCUGGCUGCAACUGUUUAUUAAAAACACAGCACUGUGCAAACACGAAAGUGGACGUAUACGGUGUGACGCCUGCCCGGUGCCGGAAGGUUAAUUGAUGGGGUCAGCGCAAGCGAAGCUCCUGAUCGAAGCCCCGGUAAACGGCGGCCGUAACUAUAACGGUCCUAAGGUAGCGAAAUUCCUUGUCGGGUAAGUUCCGACCUGCACGAAUGGCGUAAUGAUGGCCAGGCUGUCUCCACCCGAGACUCAGUGAAAUUGAACUCGCUGUGAAGAUGCAGUGUACCCGCGGCAAGACGGAAAGACCCCGUGAACCUUUACUAUAGCUUGACACUGAACAUUGAGCCUUGAUGUGUAGGAUAGGUGGGAGGCUUUGAAGUGUGGACGCCAGUCUGCAUGGAGCCGACCUUGAAAUACCACCCUUUAAUGUUUGAUGUUCUAACGUGGACCCGUUACCCGGGUUGCGGACAGUGUCUGGUGGGUAGUUUGACUGGGGCGGUCUCCUCCUAAAGAGUAACGGAGGAGCACGAAGGUUGGCUAAUCCUGGUCGGACAUCAGGAGGUUAGUGCAAUGGCAUAAGCCAGCUUGACUGCGAGCGUGACGGCGCGAGCAGGUGCGAAAGCAGGUCAUAGUGAUCCGGUGGUUCUGAAUGGAAGGGCCAUCGCUCAACGGAUAAAAGGUACUCCGGGGAUAACAGGCUGAUACCGCCCAAGAGUUCAUAUCGACGGCGGUGUUUGGCACCUCGAUGUCGGCUCAUCACAUCCUGGGGCUGAAGUAGGUCCCAAGGGUAUGGCUGUUCGCCAUUUAAAGUGGUACGCGAGCUGGGUUUAGAACGUCGUGAGACAGUUCGGUCCCUAUCUGCCGUGGGCGCUGGAGAACUGAGGGGGGCUGCUCCUAGUACGAGAGGACCGGAGUGGACGCAUCACUGG